GUGCCAGCCGCCGCGGUAAUACGGAGGGUGCAAGCGUUGUCCGGAUUUAUUGGGUUUAAAGGGUGCGUAGGCGGAUUAAUAAGCCAGUGGUGAAAGCCGGCAGCUCAACUGUCGAAUUGCCAUUGAUACUGUUAGUCUUGAGUAUAGUUGAGGUAGGCGGAAUGAGUCGUGUAGCGGUGAAAUGCAUAGAUAUGACUCAGAACACCGAUAGCAUAGGCAGCUUACUAAGCUAUAACUGACGCUGAGGCACGAAAGCGUGGGGAGCGAACAGGAUUAGAAACCCUUGUAGUCC
rnacentral:rRNA from 1 species